GGCGGACGGGUGAGUAACACGUAAGAAUUUGCCUUUAGGAGGGGGACAACAACUGGAAACGGUUGCUAAUACCCCAUAUGCUUUCGAGUGAAAUGGAUUUUUCCGCCUAGAGAGAAGCUUGCGGCUGAUUAGCUUGUUGGUGAGGUAAUGGCUCACCAAGGCGACGAUCAGUAUCUGGUUUGAGAGGAUGAUCAGACACACUGGAACUGAGACACGGUCCAG
rnacentral:rRNA from 1 species